GUGAAUGCUUUCUUUUUUGCCAUUUUUUCAUCUGUGAGUUGUUAAUGAACCCACCUCAUUCGUUGACUUUAUGUGAUCUAAUCUUUCUAUCAAGCAUGCCUUUCAUUAUAUUAUAAAGUAGGGGCCCAUGAAUCUAUUCUCUGUUUUUUUUUAUUCAGUGCUUAGCCUUUGAAUCUAAUUGAAUCUAAAAAGAAUACAGAAUAUAGAAAAUAAGAAUCCACUUUGAAUUCGAAUGAAAUAUAUAUAUUAUUGUUAUAUUGAUAUUGUUUUUGUUUCCAUAUAUCUCAAUUGAUCAAAUUCGAAGCAAUUGCCCUCUUUUGAUAACUGCCCGAAAGAACCGCUUCAAAUAAUAAAGAUUGUUCUAUUCAGAUUUUGAGACGAAUGAGCGCCCUGUCUAUAUCAAGAUCGCAAUCAAAUAUGUCGAAAAUUUUCGCGGGUUAUCUAAACUAUAUAUAGUCUAGAGUCCAGCAAUAAUUGAAAAAAAAAUUAGGAAAAAUAUUAUGCUGAUAAAAAAUGAGUGACAAAAAAAGACAGAAAAGUUAUCAUUACGUUUAUCAUUAUGUUAUAAGAAAGAAAUCCACUUGUUUAGUUCUUUAGUUCUUAAGGAGCACAAAAGAAAGGAUAAAAGGGGAGGGGCCGAUUGAGAAAAGAAAAGUAGAGAAAAUUUACAAGAUAUGAUCUAUCUGUAUUUAACAUAUCAACUCCAAAUAUUGCAAAUAAAAAGAGAAAGUCUUUAUUUCGAUUUGAUAUAUGAGAUGAAUCCAGUAUUUCGAUUUCUUGCUUAUUUUGUUACUGAAUUAAGUUGAGCGGUUUUACAUUUACAGACGCAUAAAAAACUAUUUUUGUGGACAAAAAAAACUGU
rnacentral:lncRNA from 1 species